CAGCAAUGCACUGUGUGGCUGUUUGGCCCACAGGCUUCAUCCCCCAUCUACCGCCUCCUCCUCGAGUCAUGGAGCAAUAUGUGACAGUGUGGGCAGAGAUGCCAUCUGGAAGACCUGCGAGGACAUGCUGUGCUCAGGGAACCUUGUGGAAGGAAGAAGCAGCAGAAGUGUUAUAAGAGCAAUGGAGAAUGGAGGACUCCAAGGAAACAAGGCCUUCUAAACACAGCAGAAGCAAUGCACGUGUGUAUGUACAGAGACUGAGACCUGCAUGCAUAAGGCCUGUAUGGGUCUG
rnacentral:lncRNA from 1 species